UCUCCUUCCCCCCUUCACUAACUUAGGGCGGCCCAGCAGGCAGCCUCUCCUGUUUUAGUGGGUGCGAUUGGCCUUUUGGUUUUGAUUGCCUGUAGAUUUAUGAUGGUUUGACGGAUUGCUUUGACUAGUUGUUCCUGGUUCCAAUAUCAUCCUUGACGUUUCCGUGAUUCCUCCCCAGUGACAAUGUUUUGUACGUUUGGGAAAGUACCUUCAUUUGAACUUCAUGAAGCAGAUCGGAUGCCCCACUUUUUCUAUUAAUAUGCGUUGAUCCACAGAGCGAAGCUGGAGACAGUCCCAGACCUAUUUAUCGUCUAGUCUUUAUAUAUUUUUUAAAAAUCUAGUUAGAUACAGGAAACAACCGGUUGUUGUGAGUGAAUUACGUCAGAAUGAGUGGGUUAUCUCAGGCAUUAUUGUUACUGAUACUCAUGACCUUCAUUCAAAAACUUACUGCAUUUAAGAGCAGUUGGCUAAGUACUUCAGAGAGGAAUAUAAAUAUUAUGCUGUUGGGGAUUUUAUAAAGAACAUGUCAUUUCAUGGGAUGAAGGCACCACUGGAAAAUUUGCCACCCAGCCAUCAUCACCCUGAACUGCAGGCUUGCUAGGUCAUUUCAGAGGGAUGGUUGAAUAGACUUGAAGGGCUGAAUGGCCUUUCUCCUGUUUCCACCUUCCUAUAAAUAGACGGGACAAUGGAAUUGAAGGAGGCAGUUCAGAAAUCAUGGAAUGAGUAAUGCAAAAUGCAGAAGGGCUGUGCUAUAGCAAAUUAAUGGAAAAGGUUGUGAAGUGCCACACUUGGGAUGGAAAUAUAAUUGAUAUUUGCACUUCGUGAAUGCAGUUGGAAUAGUCAACCAUGAAGCUGAAUGAAAGGUUUGAAAUGUUAGUAGAUUUGAUACUAAAAAUUCCUGAAGAAGGGCUUAUGCCCGAAACGUCGAUUCUCCUGUUCCUUGGAUGCUGACUGACCUGCCGUGCUUUUCCAGCAACACAUUUUCAGCUCUGAUCUCCAGCAUCUGCAGCCCUCACUUUCUCCUUGAUACUAAGUAUAGCCAACCAAUGCAUUGCAGGAAAGCAACAAAGCCAAAUGAAUGUGCAAUGAUAUAACGAUAUAACCAAACAUUGGAACAUGUCAGAGAAGCACACUGAUUAUGCCUUUUGUCCUAAUUUUACUACCUCCUCUUCUGAAGACAAUGACUCAUGCUGGGAUAUGGUUACAUAAGUGUCAGCAGCUAUCCAGCACCUCGCUCAGAGCCUUUUUACUAUCUCAGGAGAGCACAAAAUUGCUUUAACAGCCAAGAUGAUUAUACUCGCGAUGUAUAAAGUCAAUGGUCCAGAUCCUCCAGUCAGUAACAAUGUCGCUUGUGAUGAUCUCUGCACCCGAACAUUUUACGUUCUUUUAACUGGGACUUUCUGUCUGGAUUGCAGUAAUGCCUCAAUGCAUCAGCAAAGCAGAGCAGCACAGAGAAAACACCCUCUAUUACAGCUUCAGCAGUAUUUAAAGGUUUAGAGGAAUAAACAUGUUGGAUUUUGACCUGGUGUUUUGUGAUUUUUAUCUUUGUCCACCCGAGUCCAACACCUGCACCUCCACAUCAAAGAAGAAUAAUAGAAUCCCUACAGAGUGAAAGCAAGCUAUUCAGCACAUCGAGUUCACAGUGACCCCCCAAACUGCAUCCCAUCCUAUACCUGUAACCCUGCAUUUCCUAUGUCUUAACACCACCCCCACCCCCCACCCAUCUUGCACAUCCAUGGACACUAUGGGCAGUUUAGC